rfam:Bacillus sp. FJAT-27997 Scaffold1, whole genome shotgun sequence.
AAUAAAUAUUACGGGAGUCUGUGGAAUCAGGCUGAGAGUAUGACUAACUGUCGUAGACCGUUUGAACCUGUUGGGUAAUGCCAGCGUAGGGAUUGUGAAUAGGGGACUAC